rnacentral:lncRNA from 1 species
GUUGUGAGUAGGUCAACAUGGAAUCGAUCACUUCUAGUAAGAGGAGAUCGCAUCCUGUGUAUUCUCAUUCGUAGAUGACUUAGAAAAAAAUUUUUGGCCAAAAGUAGGAAAGAGAUUAGAAAGAGUUUUUAAUACUUCUUCAUUGGAGUCAUCAUUGGUUAAUUGAAAAUUGAUAUGAAUGUGUGUUUGAGUUUGACAUGAUUUUAUACUUAUGAACAUAUUC